rnacentral:sRNA from 1 species
GUCCAGGUCGUGUCCACAAUGGUGGGCCUC